AACGCACCUUGCGCUCCUUGGUAUUCCGAGGAGCAUGCCUGUUUGAGUGUCAUGAAAUUCUCAACUGUCCCAGGCUUUGCGGCUUGCGGGUGAAGUUGGACUUGGAGGUGUGCUGGCGCAUGAAUGGGCUUUCCGCCCUGCCGUGCUUGUCGGCUCCUCUUGAAUGUAUGAGCUUUCCAAUCCUUGGCAAAGUAUCGUCGAUGUGAUAAUUAUCUGCAUUGUCUGAGAAAGCCUAACAGGGGAAAUCUUUGAUCAUGUCGGGGUGACCCGCGUCUGACAAAUUCGACCUCAAAUCAGGUAGGACUACCCGCUGAACUUAA
rnacentral:misc_RNA from 1 species